rnacentral:rRNA from 1 species
GAUGAACGCUGGCGGCGUGCCUAAUACAUGCAAGUCGAGCGAAUGGAUUAAGAGCUUGCUCUUAUGAAGUUAGCGGCGGACGGGUGAGUAACACGUGGGUAACCUGCCCAUAAGACUGGGAUAACUCCGGGAAACCGGGGCUAAUACCGGAUAACAUUUUGAACCGCAUGGUUCGAAAUUGAAAGGCGGCUUCGGCUGUCACUUAUCGAUGGACCCGCGUCGCAUUAGCUAGUGGGUGAGGUAACGGCUCACCAAGGCAAAGAUGCGUAGCCGACCUGAGAGGGUGAUCGGCCACACUGGGACUGAGACACGGCCCAGACUCCUACGGGAGGCAGCAGUAGGGAAUCUUCCGCAAUGGACGAAAGUCUGACGGAGCAACGCCGCGUGAGUGAUGAAGGCUUUCGGGUCGUAAAACUCUGUUGUUAGGGAAGAACAAGUGCUAGUUGAAUAAGCUGGCACCUUGACGGUACCUAACCAGAAAGCCACGGCUAACUACGUGCCAGCAGCCGCAGUAA